AAGACUGUAGCAUAAUUGGUAAUGCGUUCCGCUCAUAAUGGAACAGAUUAUGGUUCAAUUCCAUGCGGUCUUA
rfam:Grifola frondosa strain 9006-11 000063F, whole genome shotgun sequence.